rnacentral:rRNA from 1 species
UAGUCCACGCCGUAAACGAUGGAUACUAGAUGUUGCGCGUAUCGAUCCGUGCAGUAUCGUAGCUAACGCGUUAAGUAUCCCGCCUGGGGAGUACGGCCGCAAGGUUAAAACUCAAAUGAAUUGACGGGGGCCCGCACAAGCGGUGGAGCAUGUGGUUUAAUUCGAUGCAACGCGAAGAACCUUACCUACUCUUGACAUCUACAGAAGCCAGCGGAGACGCAGGUGUGCCUUCGGGAACUGUAAGACAGGUGCUGCAUGGCUGUCGUCAGCUCGUGUUGUGAAAUGUUGGGUUAAGUCCCGCAACGAGUGCAACCCUUAUCCUUGUUUGCCAGCACGUAAUGGUGGGAACUCCAGGGAGACUGCCGGUGACAAACCGGAGGAAGGUAAGGAUGACGUCAAGUCAGCAUGCCCCUUACGCCCUGGGCUACACACGUGCUACAAUGGUCGUGACAAAGGGUCGCUAAUCUGCAAAGACAUGCUAAUCUCAUAAACACGGCCU